GUGUGUUGAAGUUAAAUUCUGUUAGUGCUGCACAAAAAGAAUCGUUAGUAAUAAGCCCAUGCAGUGAAGGAAGUGAACAAUUGUGGGACCGUAUUUGGGCCAAAAAUGGGUGUGGUACGGAAACCAAGAUAUGGCAAAAGUUCAACAUGAAACAUGGAUUAGAAUUUAAUGGGGGAUCAAAUCAAGUCUGGAAGUGUUACAGGAUGGAAGAGUCAGCCUACAGAUGAAAAAACACAGAGUGCAUUACCAUUAAGGUAUGAGGUAAAGUAAUAGAGUAUGCACAUUGUCUAAUGAGAAGUACCAUCUUGUGUUAAUAAAUCCAGUACAACAGCAAUCCUUUAUAGUUCUGUCACAGCUAGAAACCUCAAAUAAUUCUGCUUCUCUGUCUAAAGAACAACUUGUCCUUUACGUUCAGAGUGUUGGGGAAACUGGGUACUUAAAUGGCCCUAAAGAUGUUUUAAUUUUGCUGCCAUGGCAGAGAUGAACAUCAUACAUGGACUCUUUAGGUCUAAUCUACCAAAAAAAAUUUUAUCCAAUAGGAAAGGAUUUUCAUGUACUGGGAACACAACUAUCAACAAUGCAACAUUGUACAGGUGCUAGUUUAUCAUUCAAGAGCCUUAUACAAUGAUGUUAAUCUGCAAUUUGUAUGUCCUUCCCCAAGCUUCCACCAGAAGUUGAAUCUAUGAGUCAUGUAAGUUACAUGAUCAACAGUUGAUAUGUUUAACGGUGUUGUUUUUCUUUUCUCAAUAUAGGUUAAUAGUAACAUUGGAUCUGAAAAAAUUCUUGGUUGGGGCAAGACACUGAAUAAAUUGUAUUGAUUGGAUGGAUGACAUGACAUUUCUAUACUUAAUUCGGAUUCCCCAGACGGUAUUUGAUAUUAAAAAAAUUGAAGUGCAUAUCUGGGCUCCCUUCUUUUCUGAAGCCCCGUUUCCCCUUGACUCGUAAUAAGCCCGUAGGGGGUCAUGCCCCUACUGUACGGUAUAUAUAAAAACAACAUAUACCGAGGUUUGGAGGGCUCUGGCCGGAAA